rnacentral:tRNA from 1 species
GGGCACGUAGCUCAGCGGUAGAGCACUACGUUGACAUCGUAGGGGUCACAAGUUCGAUCCUUGUCGUGCCCACCA